UACGUAGGGUGCAAGCGUUAAUCGGAAUGACUGGGCGUAAAGCGUGCGCAGGCGGUUUGUUAAGACAGAUGUGAAAUCCCCGGGCUCAACCUGGGAACUGCAUUUGUGACUGGCAAGCUAGAGUCUGGCAGAGGGGGGUGGAAUUCCGCGUGUAGCAGUGAAAUGCGUAGAUAUGCGGAGGAACACCGAUGGCGAAGGCAGCCCCCUGGGCCAACACUGACGCUCAUGCACGAAAGCGUGGGGAGCAAACAG
rnacentral:rRNA from 1 species